rnacentral:rRNA from 1 species
UAAGGAAUAUUGGUCAAUGGGCGCAAGCCUGAACCAGCCAUGCCGCGUGAAGGAUGACGGCCCUAUGGGUUGUAAACUUCUUUUGUACGGGAAAAAACCUCUGGUCGUGAAUCAGAGCUGAUGGUACCGUAAGAAUAAGCAUCGGCUAACUCCGUGCCAGCAGCCGCGGUAAUACGGAGGAUGCAAGCGUUAUCCGGAUUCAUUGGGUUUAAAGGGUGCGCAGGCGGAAUAAUAAGUCAGCGGUGAAAGCCUACAGCUUAACUGUAGAACUGCCAUUGAUACUGUUAUUCUUGAGUGUUGUUGAGGUAGGCGGAAUGUGUCAUGUAGCGGUGAAAUGCUUAGGUAUGACACAGAACACCGAUCGCGAAGGCAGCUUACCAAGCAACAACUGGCGCUCACGCACGAAAGCUUGGGGAUCAAACA